rnacentral:rRNA from 1 species
CUGUCUCAGAUAAGCCAUGCACGUCUAGUACAAACUAAAUGAUGGUGAAACUGCAAAUGGCUCAUUACAACGGUUAUGAUGUACCCGGGAGUUCCGAUGGAUAUUUCCAGUAACACUAGAACUAAUACAUGUCCCUGCGUUUAUUAGUUUCGCACAGUCCGUCGCUGAGUCAUGGUAAACAGUUGAUCGACUCGACGUCCCGGAACAGUUUCCGCCCCAUCAGCUUCGAUGGUUGGGUAUUGGCCUACCAUUGCAACAACGGGUAACGAGGAAUUAGGGUUUGAUUUCGGAGAGGGAGCCUGAGAAACGGCUACCACAUCUACGGAUGGCAGCAGGCGCGCAAAUUACCCAAUGCAGACACUGUGAGGUAGUGACGAGAAAUAAUAAAGCGGGACUUCUGUUUCGCUAUUAUAAUGAGGAAUAACCAAAGGUCAUUCCGAUUAGCAACUGAUGGGAAAGUCUGGUGCCAGCAGCCGCGGUAAUACCAGCGUCAGUAGCAU